AUGCUACUGCCUUACUUACCAGUGCUUUUCUUACCGAAAUCCAUCGUGUACAUGGACCAAUUCAAGCAUUUUUCAAGUGUUUUAUUUUUCUUCUCUUACGAAUUCAAGCAUCAAUGUGCAUGGUUCAUUUUUCAUCUAUUUAAUCGCAUUUGCCACUCCAGAAAGCUCUACAGUUUCUCAGGUUCUAUUUGUGCUUCUCGUCCUGGUGCUGUUCAAGUAAAUACGCAAGAGGAGGCGGUACAUAUGACCUCCUCGUCUGGGCUCCUCAAGUACAGUAACUCUGGCGGGACACCCUGCUCCACAGGCAGCAGCAACCUGGAGUCCGGCAGUGUCCACAAACCGCAGACACACCAAUUCACCUACGAGAAGCUGGAGGUGGCCAUCGGUGACUUCAGUGAUAGCCGAGAGCUCGGCGACCGGCGACGGCUUUGGCGACAUGUACAAAGAUUGAAAUGUAAGCUUGUAGAUGCUUGA
rnacentral:rRNA from 1 species